GAAAUUUAUUCUGCAUCUAUGCAGGUAACAUUUCUGCUUAGUCUGUACUUAUAUAAAUUGAAGGUGAUCAACAAGCAAAGAUAUUUAAUAAAGUUGUGAAUUAUCUGGCUUAAUUCGGGCUGUCAUUUCCAAUCCUCGACUAAAGUUUUCUCAUUUUUCUUUGCUUGAAAAGGAUCCUUCCUUUCCUUCUCUAUAUUUCUUCCUUUUUUCCCCCUCCAUUUUCUAUUUAAACUUUUAUUUAAGCAGAGUCUGCAAGAGGACAGUUAAUUGGCUUGAAGUUUUAAAAUCCAACUUGGAGGUUCCAAGCUGGAUGGUUGGGGGUUUUGUGGUAUAGGAGGGUAAGCUACUCCAUUGUUUAGUUGAAGACCUAAUUGAAUGAAGAGUAGAAAAGUAGGAAAUAACUCUUUCCUUAAGGCUUAAAAUUAAUGUGGUUAUUCUCUAGUGCUAGUUUAACUUCCUUAAUCAGCAUUCCUUACAUUUGCACUUUUCUGACCUCUAGUUAUGUGGAGUUCGAGCUAAU
rnacentral:misc_RNA from 1 species